GUGCUUGCUUUGGCAGCACAUAUACUAAAAUUGGAACGAUACAGAGAAGAUUAGCAUGGCCCCCAUGCAAGGAUGACACGGUUCUGGAAGUUGAGAAGUCCAAGAGCAUG